CAUUAGCAGCUCACCACUCGGACGAGGAGGCGUGUGUCAGUAACACUAAGCUGCACGUCGCCUUUGGCUGACCGAAAGAACCCCAGUUUCUCCCAGUGUUAAAAAACAACAGCAGCCGUGCCCCGCCGCGCCCCCACCCCCAGCGGAGCCGUCAUGUGGCAGGAGGCCCGCAAACACGAGCGCAAGCUCCGUGGCAUGAUGGUGGAUUACAAACGCAGAGGAGAGCGACGGCGGGAAUACUAUGAAAAGAUCAAAAAAGAUCCAGCUCAGUUUCUGCAGGUUCAUGGCCGAGCCUAUAAGAUUCAUCUGGAUCCCGCUGUGGCCCUCGCUGCAGAGAGCCCCAUAAACAUGAUGCCAUGGCAGGGAGAUGCCAACAACAUGAUUGAUAGGUUUGAUGUCAGGGCUCAUCUGGACUACAUCCCUACGUACACGCCUCCACUGCUCAACACAUCAACCCCAGAGCAGGAGAUGGAGGAGAGAAAGUGCAAUUAUGAACGCUACAGAGGCCUUGUGCAGAAUGACUUUGCCAACAUCUCCGAAGAGCAGUGUUUAUACCAGAUCUACCUGGACGAGCUCUACGGUGGCCUGCAGAAGCCAAAUGAAGAUGAGAAGAAAAAGCUGGCUGAAAAAAAGGCCACCAUUGGUUACACGUAUGAAGACAGCACUGUAACAGAGCCGGACCCUCAGUCAGACAAAGAUGAAGACAAUUCAGAGAACAGUGAAUCAGAGGAGGAUGAGGGCAUCCCAGAUAUUGAUGUUGAGGUGGAUGUUGACGAGCUGAACCAGGAACAGGAGUUGGACCUCAACAAAAUUGCAACCCCGUAUGGAAUGGCUGAAGGAGACUUUGUGAGGAUGUUGAGGAAAGACAAGGAGGAAGUGGAGGCCAUCAAACAUGCCAAGGCUCUGGAGGCGGAGAAGGCCAUGUACUCUGGCCGGCGUUCUCGCAGACAAAGGAGAGAGUUUAGAGAGAAGAGGCUUAAAGGUCGACAGAUCAGUCCACCAAGCUAUGCAAGGAGAGACAGUCCCACGUAUGAUCCCUAUAAACGGCCAGAGUCGGAGUCGAGCUCUGAGUCACGAUCACGCUCUCGUACUCCCGGUCCAGAGAAGAUCACCUUCAUCACCAGCUUCGGAGGCAGUGACGAGGAAGCUGCUGCAGCCGCACAAACAGCCCCCCCUCACUCUGGCCACGCCCCCUCCAGCACGCAGCACCCUGCAGGUCAUAGCAGGGGCUCCCGGAGACGAAGGUCGUCCUCCAGCCGCUCCCCUUCCUCCUCCUCCUCCCGCUCCUCCUCACGGUCCUCCUCUCGCUCUACCUCUCGUUCACGCCGUACAAGGCGUGGUCGCGGGGGAAGGGAUGGUCGCCGAUCCAGAACCCGAUCACGGUCGAGACGACGGACCCGAUCUCACUCUAGAGGCAGAGGAGGAAAUGGAGGAGCUGCAUCCUGGAGGAGACGAGACCGGACACGAUCGCGAUCCAACGACAGAAACAGAGAGCGAGACCGAGACAGAGAAAGGGACCGGGACCGGGACAGGAGACGAUACUCAGCGCGUAAAAGAACAAGGUCACGUUCCAGCUCUCGGCAGGGGGGCAGUUUGAGGCGAGGGGGACGAAGCAGUGCAGGCCAUCGGCGGGGGAACAGCAACAGUCACAGUCCGUCUCAGUCCCCAAAACGUGCUAACCACAGUCCCUCCCCUGCCCAUAGAGGAUCCCAGCCCUCUUCUCUCAGCAUCUGUGACAAGCUAAGAAAGCCUGAAACUCCGGGUGGUAAAGAGACGGGAGCUGCCAAAGUCACAGCCCAAGAUGACCCCACAGGAACGGCUGAAGAUAAAAAUGCAGAAGGCGCUCAACAAGCAGUCCAAGGCGGAUAAAAGAGCUGCUCAGGUGAAGAUCCAGCAGCAGGAAAACAAACGACAGGAGCGAGAGGGAGAGCUGCGAGCCAUGGCACGCAAGAUUCGCAUGAAGGAGCGUGAGAGACGAGAGAAAGAGAGGGAUGAAUGGGAGCGACAGUAUGGGCGACAGAGCCACUCCCCCUCUCCUUCCAAAUCCGGCCGUGAACACAGCUCACACAGAAGGAGGUCGCGGUCUCGGUCUCGGAGUCCUUAUUACCGAUAUUGAGCUGUAGGAAACGUGAACACAUCCUACAGAAACGUCUGAACCGUACUUAGUACACAAACUCUCAAACCAAGAGGCUAAUAAGUGGGAGUAUGAAGAGAGGCACUGGCACUACGCUCUCUGAAACUGUCUAAACAUAACAUUGACUGUGAUACCUUUAACUUCACUAAUUACACAGUUGAUUGGUUCAAUCUGCCACUUUUGUUUCAGCUUCAUCCUGAAAAGAGAGUGAAGGUUUAUUAUGAGUUUCUGUUUUCUUCUGCAUGCUGUUUUUUUCCCUUUUUCUGCCUGAACACUUCUUCAUGAUGUGAACUCUUCUGGAUUUAUUUUCUUCUUUGAACUAUAUAAUACUAAGCAAUAUCUCAUCUUUUUACCUCCCAUCUUCCUUUUUGUCAUUAUGCUCGCUCUCAGCCUUUUCAUGAUCACACUUAAGACCAUUUCAAAUAACUUUCGUGAGCUGAUGUACAGGAUAUUUAUAAACAUCAAUUUAAAACUUGUUUAUGAAAGCAGAUGAUGUUCAUGUAUGAAUUCAAUCCACCAACCUCUCUUUUUGUACAUAGUUAACAGAAGCAAAUCACUUUUUGUUGUUGUCUGUAAAGUGGAAUGUUAAACACAAAACAACAAAUAAAAUCAAUCUUUUGGAAUAAUU